rnacentral:rRNA from 1 species
GAUGAACGCUGGCGGCGUGCCUAAUACAUGCAAGUCGAGCGAACAGGCGAGGAGCUUGCUCCUCUGACGUUAGCGGCGGACGGGUGAGUAACACGUGGAUAACCUACCUAUAAGACUGGGAUAACUUCGGGAAACCGGAGCUAAUACCGGAUAAUAUAUUGAACCGCAUGGUUCAAUAGUGAAAGACGGUUUUGCUGUCACUUAUAGAUGGAUCCGCGCCGCAUUAGCUAGUUGGUAAGGUAACGGCUUACCAAGGCAACGAUGCGUAGCCGACCUGAGAGGGUGAUCGGCCACACUGGAACUGAGACACGGUCCAGACUCCUACGGGAGGCAGCAGUAGGGGAUCUUCCGCGAUGGGCGAAAGCCUGACGGAGCAACGCCGCGUGAGUGAUGAAGGUCUUCGGAUCGUAAAACUCUGUUAUUAGGGAAGAACAAAUGUGUAAGUAACUAUGCACGUCUUGACGGUACCUAAUCAGAAAGCCACGGCUAACUACGUG